UGCUUCUUCGCCCCUGGGCUUCCAGACGGCGCCUCUUCUGCCGAUGGCUCCAAGACACCUCAGGGAAGCGACGAAAUUAACUGGUCACACUGAGGUGUGACUGAGAAGUUCCGAGAUACAAUUGCUUUUGAAGAACUUGCAACACCUUGAGUGGAAGGAAACCUUCCUGGCCUGAGAUCAGGCAAGAGUCACGUCUGGUCUUUUUGUUUGCUGGCUUUGCCCUGGGCCUGAGCCUAAAGUAACCGGCUCUAGAAUCUCACCAGAUGCUCCUGAUUAGAAGUUGUUUCUACAGCCUCUUGGAAGAUGGAGAUCAAGCUGUCUGGUGCACCUCCUAUCGGGCAGUGGCUACGUUGACAACGAACCUUCAUAUGAAGGUUCAAUGACCCCUCCCCGCCCCCACUGUGUCACCAUUUCCUGCCUCCUUUCUUCUGCUUCCUGGGACUACAUUUCUAAGUAAAGUCCUUGGACAU